rnacentral:lncRNA from 1 species
AAUGUAUAUAUUUUUUUUAAUUUUUUAGAUAAAAAUCAGAGUGAAAAUCGAGUAAAAAUAUCUUAAGAAUAAAAUUUAUAGCCUUCGAUGCAUAGUGGACUGGCCGCUCAAUCCACGGAUUCAAUGGCACGGUCCACGAAAUAGUUUCGCAGUGUUUUGGCAUAGCUCACGGGCAAGGCAAAAGAAAUUUGCAUGAUCCAAUGGUCCAAAUUUAUCCC